rnacentral:rRNA from 1 species
AACGGACGCUGGCGGCAUGCCUAACACAUGCAAGUCGAACGAGACCUUCGGGUCUAGUGGCGCACGGGUGCGUAACGCGUGGGAAUCUGCCCUUCGGUUGGGAAUAACUGAGAGAAAUUUCAGCUAAUACCUUAUAAUGUCUUCGGACCAAAGAUUAUCGCCGAGGGAUGAGCCCGCGUAGGAUUAGGUAGUUGGUGGGGUAAUGGCCUACCAAGCCGACGAUCCUUAGCUGGUCUGAGAGGAUGAUCAGCCACACUGGGACUGAGACACGGCCCAGACUCCUACGGGAGGCAGCAGUGGGGAAUAUUGGACAAUGGGCGAAAGCCUGAUCCAGCAAUGCCGCGUGAGUGAUGAAGGCCUUAGGGUUGUAAAGCUCUUUUACCCGGGAUGAUAAUGACAGUACCAGGAGAAUAAGCUCCGGCUAACUCCGUGCCAGCAGCCGCCGUAA